rnacentral:lncRNA from 1 species
AGCAUCUAUUUAUAUUAAACUCAAAGCCGCAACUACAAUCUCUAUAGUUAGACACCGAGGUUCGAGCUCGAUCACUGAACAUUUACAAACCUUACCAACUACAUUUCCACAGAAUCAUAAAAUCCAAAGGAGAUCAUUUCUUUUCCACAUAAAUCACACACAACACAUGAUUAUCCCCACUCAAAUCACCAGAAAUAAAAAUAAAUGCUAGCAACUAACAGAUCAGCCCAACAGA